rnacentral:rRNA from 1 species
GACGAACGCUGGCGGCGUGCUUAACACAUGCAAGUCGAACGGAAAGGCCCUGCUUUUGUGGGGUGCUCGAGUGGCGAACGGGUGAGUAACACGUGAGUAACCUGCCCUUGACUUUGGGAUAACUUCAGGAAACUGGGGCUAAUACCGGAUAGGAGCUCCUGCUGCAUGGUGGGGGUUGGAAAGUUUCGGCGGUUGGGGAUGGACUCGCGGCUUAUCAGCUUGUUGGUGGGGUAGUGGCUUACCAAGGCUUUGACGGGUAGCCGGCCUGAGAGGGUGACCGGCCACAUUGGGACUGAGAUACGGCCCAGACUCCUACGGGAGGCAGCAGUGGGGAAUAUUGCACAAUGGGCGGAAGCCUGAUGCAGCAACGCCGCGUGCGGGAUGAUGGCCUUCGGGUUGUAAACCGCUUUCGCCUGUGACGAGGCGUGAGUGACGGUAAUGGGUAAAGAAGCACCGGCUAACUACGUG